UACGGGGGGGCAAGCGUUGUUCGGAAUUACUGGGCGUAAAGGGCUCGUAGGUGGCCAACUAAGUCAGACGUGAAAUCCCUCGGCUUAACCGGGGAACUGCGUCUGAUACUGGAUGGCUUGAGGUUGGGAGAGGGAUGCGGAAUUCCAGGUGUAGCGGUGAAAUGCGUAGAUAUCUGGAGGAACACCGGUGGCGAAGGCGGCAUCCUGGACCGGCAUUGACGCUGAUGAGCGAAAGCCAGGGGAGC
rnacentral:rRNA from 1 species